AGCGGAGGAAAAGAAACUAACAAGGAUUCCCCUAGUAACUGCGAGUGAAGCGGGAAAAGCUCAAAUUUAAAAUCUGGUGGUCUUUGGCCAUCCGAGUUGUAAUUUAGAGAAGCGUCUUCCGCGCUGGACCGUGCACAAGUCUCCUGGAAUGGAGCGUCAUAGAGGGUGAGAAUCCCGUCUUUGGCAUGGAUCCCAGGGCUUCUGUGAUGCGCUCUCGACGAGUCGAGUUGUUUGGGAAUGCAGCUCAAAAUGGGUGGUGAACUCCAUCUAAAGCUAAAUAUUGGCGAGAGACCGAUAGCGAACAAGUACCGUGAGGGAAAGAUGAAAAGCACUUUGGAAAGAGAGUGAAACAGUACGUGAAAUUGUUGAAAGGGAAACGCUUGAAGUCAGUCGCGUUGACCGAGACUCAACCUUGCUUUGGCUUGGUGUAUUUCUCGGCUGACGGGUCAGCAUCAAUUUUGACCCUCAGAUAAUGGCAAGGGAAAGGUGGCACCUUUUAGGUGUGUUAUAGUCCCAUGUCGCAUGUGAGGGUUGGGAUUGAGGAACUCAGCAUGCACCUCUGGGUGUCGGGGCUUUGGCCCACGUUACAUGCUUAGGAUGCUGGCAUAAUGGCUUUAAACGACCCGUCUUGA
rnacentral:rRNA from 1 species